AUUUGGAAUAUUUCCAUACUAA
rnacentral:snRNA from 1 species